rnacentral:rRNA from 1 species
GAUGAACGCUGGCGGCGUGCUUAACACAUGCAAGUCGAACGAAGAACCUUAGUCUGAUUUCUUCGGAAUGAAAAAUUUGGUGACUGAGUGGCGGACGGGUGAGUAACGCGUGGGUAACCUGCCUCUUACGGGGGGAUAACAGUUAGAAAUGACUGCUAAUCCCGCAUAAGACCACAGCACCGCAUGGUGCAGGGGUAAAAACUCCGGUGGUAUGGGAUGGGCCCGCGUCUGAGUAGGUAGUUGGUGGGGUAACGGCCUGCCAAACCGACGAGCAGUAGCCGACGUGGGAGGGUGACCGGCCACUUUGGGACUGAGACACGGCCCAAACUCCUACGGGAGGCAGCAGUGGGGAAUCUUGCACAAUGGGGGAAACCCUGAUGCAGCGACGCCGCGUGAGCGAGGAAGUAUUUCGGUAUGUAAAGCUCUAUCAGCAGGGAAGAAAAUGACGGUACCUGACUAAGAAGCACCGGCUAAAUACGUGCCAGCCGCCGCCGUAA